UGGGGAAUAUUGCACAAUGGGCGGAAGCCUGAUGCAGCAACGCCGCGUGCGGGAUGACGGCCUUCGGGUUGUAAACCGCUUUCGCCUGUGACGAAGCGUGAGUGACGGUAAUGGGUAAAGAAGCACCGGCUAACUACGUGCCAGCAGCCGCGGUGAUACGUAGGGUGCGAGCGGUGUCCGGAUUUAUUGGGCGUAAAGGGCUCGUAGGUGGUUGAUCGCGUCGGAAGUGUAAUCUUGGGGCUUAACCCUGAGCGUGCUUUCGAUACGGGUUGACUUGAGGAAGGUAGGGGAGAAUGGAAUUCCUGGUGGAGCGGUGGAAUGCGCAGAUAUCAGGAGGAACGCCAGUGGCGAAGGCGGUUCUCUGGGCCUUUCCUGACGCUGAGGAGCGAAAGCGUGGGGAGCGAACA
rnacentral:rRNA from 1 species